rnacentral:lncRNA from 1 species
UUUAAAUGUCAUAUGCAAAUAAAAACUAACAUUUUCUAGACAGCAUGCAUAUGUUUAUCUAUAUAACUGCAUCAUGCUACAUCAGGAAGAGAAAUAUAUAUAUCAUGAAUAUAAUGUCUGCUUCAGUCAUCCAUAUCAUCGCUGGCAUUAUAUUGAUGAUAUUCAGAAUCUAGAACUCUGUUUCUCAGAUCUUGAUCACUCUUUGAAGUGUAAAACAAAAUAACAUAAAAGGUCAUCAUGCUCAUUUAUCAUUUAGGCAAGUUGAUAAAAUUAAGCCCGUUAUUAAAAAUCCUGAAAAUAUAAAAAACUCAUUGAAAACACACUUAGUAUAACUGAUUGUCACCAAGGACUUUGUCAGUCCUUAAACUGUAGUUUUUUUCAUUUCUUCUGCUACUCAUCAUUACCCUUUGUCACCUUAUUUGUUCUAGCCAAUUUAAUUCAUUGAUGUUGGUUGCAAAGGCUAUAAAACUCAAUGUGAUUCUUGGUGAGUUUGAGUCAGCCUCAUACAUGAUAAGUAGAGAGUAGACUGUCAGAUUGUCAGAGAUGCAACUUACUUUGUCCUUUUGUUUCUCUUAGAUGUGGAUUUGAAAAGAAAGUUUCCAGAAGACUUAAAGAAGAAAUCAGAGUAUGGACUUUUUGCUCUCUGAAAUCAUUUUUUUAUUGCAUGUCCGUGAAAAGAGAUUGAAGGAUUUAAGCUUAAGUCUACAGAAGACUGAGGGAAGGCAUGGCAACAACUUCCAAAUAUGUAAAGAGGUGCUCCAGAGCAAUAAGGUACACAACUUCUGUCAUCUACAGAAUUAAGUUAAAGAACACUGAAAAAGGACUACUGAGGCACAUUACUGACAACAGAAGUGUUAUUAGUGGUAGGCUGAUCAUUGCUUUGAUUUGUCUACUGGAGCAGAAAAAAAAAUGCAGUUCAGCAGUGCAGGCAGUAAUUCCACACUAUGAGCUGGCAGGGAGAAAAAAAAAAAAUCUUCUAAUCAUUCUUAUUGUGUAUAUGAUCCUAAAUUUUAAAAUGCCACAGUAA